rnacentral:lncRNA from 1 species
GGGUAAGUCGCGACAACGGACACCACUCCACUCUCCGUAACAAACUCCACGUGGCCCCACCACUCUCCGGCAAGUCGCGACAACGGACACCACUCCACUUUCCGUAACAAGCUCCACGUGGCCCCGAACGGCCCACUACCAGGCAGUUACGGACGUCGCUGUCAAUCAGUUAUGCUCUCCCAUCUAUAAAAGAGACCCCCCAGAUAUGUUCUCCUCUAAGCUCUAAACACUAUCUCUAAACUCUGCUAAAAUUCCAUUCGAGUGCUCCAUUUCUGUUGAAGCAGAGUACUG